UGGGGAAUAUUGCACAAUGGGCGCAAGCCUGAUGCAGCCAUGCCGCGUGUAUGAAGAAGGCCUUCGGGUUGUAAAGUACUUUCAGCGGGGAGGAAGGUGUUGUGGUUAAUAACCUCAGCAAUUGACGUUACCCGCAGAAGAAGCACCGGCUAACUCCGUGCCAGCAGCCGCGGUAAUACGGAGGGAGCAAGCGUUAAACGGACUUACUGGGCGUAAAGCGCACGCAGGCGGUCUGUCAAGUCGGAUGUGAAAUCCCCGGGCUCAACCUGGGAACUGCAUCCGAAACUGGCAGGCUUGAGUCUUGUAGAGGGGGGUAGAAUUCCAGGUGUAGCGGUGAAAUGCGUAGAGAUCUGGAGGAAUACCGGUGGCGAAGGCGGCCCCCUGGACAAAGACUGACGCUCAGGUGCGAAAGCGUGGGGAGCAAACA
rnacentral:rRNA from 1 species